UCACAUGACCUCAUGGAUGAAGUGGAGAAGGUGAACAAAGACCAGUACAACAAAUGCAGGGAGCAAAAGUUCAACGAGUUCGCCAACAAAGCACUGGAAAACGCCGACUCAGAAAUCGACCACCUCGACUGGGAAAGCACCUUUUUCCUGCGUCAUCUCCCCGUCUCCAACAUUUCUGAGAUCCCCGAUCUUGAUGACCAGUAUAGGUUGCACGAUCUGAUCAUGAUGUCAUCUUCUGGCCUGGUCUUUUCACCUUGCUCAUCGUUUCGUUUCUUGGGACGAUGACUGCGUGCAGGAAGGCGAUGAAGGAAUUUGCGGCAGAGAUGGAGAAGCUGGCAGAGCGGCUGCUCGACUUGCUGGGUGAGAACCUGGGGCUGGAGAAGGGGUACCUGAAGAAAGCCUUCUCUAAUGGAUCCAAGGGGCCAACCUUUGGGACCAAGGUCAGCAGCUACCCGCCAUGCCCGCGCCCGGACCUGGUGAAGGGCCUGAGGGCGCACACCGACGCCGGAGGCAUCAUCUUGCUCUUCCAGGACGACCAGGUCAGCGGCCUGCAGUUCCUCAAGGACGGCGAGUGGCUGGACGUGCCCCCCAUGCGCCACGCCAUCGUCGUCAACCUCGGCGACCAGCUCGAGGUUUGGGUCCUCUUUGCUCUCGUUUCCGCUGCCCGUCGUCUGUGAUGUUGAAUGCAACGAGGUCUGCAGGUAAUCACCAAUGGCAAGUACAAGAGCGUGGUGCACCGCGUGGUGGCUCAGACUGAUGGCAACAGGAUGUCGAUUGCCUCCUUCUACAACCCCGGGAGCGACGCUGUGAUCUUCCCGGCCCCCGCUCUUGUGGAGAAGGAAGCGGAGGAGAAGAAGGAGGUCUAUCCGAAGUUCGUGUUCGAGGAUUACAUGAAGCUCUACGUCGGGCAUAAGUUCCAGGCCAAGGAGCCAAGAUUCGAAGCCAUGAAAGCCAUGGAAGCAGUUGCCACCCACCCAAUCGCUACCUCUUAAGUGACAGCCCCCAAGUUAGUGCAUGUCGCUGUACUUCGCGUUAGGAAGCUGUCGUCUAUGUCUAUGUAACCCGAUGGAUGUGUGGUAUGUACGUGUGUGAGC
rnacentral:lncRNA from 1 species